rnacentral:lncRNA from 1 species
GGAUAUGAAGGUUUGGUAAGUUCCGAACAAUCCGGCAAGAUGUAAAACUGUUUAACUUAUCCAUGAGGGGUAAAAGGCAAUUGGUACCACAUGCAUUAGUCGUGUCUAGGGAUUGCAUGACAUAGAAUGAUUGGCAUUAGAUACAUCAGGGUAAAUGCGCAUAUAUUUGAUAAAUGGUAUGUGACAUUAUCUGGUUGAACUGUGUUAAACUUUAUUAAUUGAUAACUGUUUAAUACGACGUUUUG